rnacentral:tRNA from 1 species
CAGGUGAAUAUAGUUUAACCAAAACACUAAACUGUGGACUUAGAAAUAAGAGCCAG